AAGUCGUAACAAGGUUUCCGUAGGUGAACCUGCGGUUGGAUCAUUAUCACACGUAUUACACGUUUUAUCAACCAACGCGAACUGUUGACUAACCCCUUUCUAUGUUGUGUUCACUAUGGGUUUUCUAUCGAAGAUUGAGACAAGUGUUUCAAGGGACUAUGCUAGAGACAGAAUUAUAUCAAGCUUCUUUCAUUUCAAGUGAUUUAGUGCUUGUUUUUGUAUCUCUUUGAUUUUAGUACUCCACGGUUUUGCGAACCGCAAUCUUUGUAAAAGCUCGAACUCCUAAAAGGGCGUAAAAACCAAACCACUUGAUAUUAACAAUUCUUAUAAACUUUGAACUAACUUAUUUCUUUCUCUUUCAACGGAGAAGAAAUUAAAUACGAAAAAUUAAAAACAACUCUUAGCAACGGAUAUCUUGGUUCUC
rnacentral:misc_RNA from 1 species